rnacentral:RNase_P_RNA from 1 species
CGAGCCGACCGGGCGGUCGCGUCGCCGGGCCCCGCGUCCGGCGCCGAGGAACGUCCGGACUCCACAGGGCAGGGUGGUUGCUAACGGCAACCCGGGGUGACCCGCGGGACAGUGCCACAGAAAACAGACCGCCGGAGCGGCCGGUACGAGCCCUCGGGCGCGGACUGUCCGGUUCCGGUAAGGGUGAAACGGUGGGGUAAGAGCCCACCAGCAUCUCGGGUGACCGGGAUGGCUCGGCAAACCCCACCCGGAGCAAGGCCAAGAAGGGCCGCCGCCGCAGGGCGACGGCCUGCGCAGGCGUUUGAGGGUGGCCCGCCCGAGCCUGCGGGUAGGCCGCUGGAGCCUGUCGGCAACGGCAGGCCGAGAUGGAUGACCGCCGCCGGCGCCACCGGCAACGGUGCGCGCCGGGCACAGAAUCCGGCGUACAGGUCGACUCGUCCG